AUUGAACGCUGGCGGCAGGCCUAACACAUGCAAGUCGAACGAGUGGCGGACGGGUGAGUAAUGUCGGGGAAACUGCCUGAUGGAGGGGGAUAACUACUGGAAACGGUAGCUAAUACCGCAUACCCUCAGAUGUGCCCAGGUGGGAUUAGCUAGUGGGUGGGGUAACGGCUCACCAAGGCGACGAUCCCUAGCUGGUCGGAGAGGAUGACCAGCAACACUGGAACUGGACCACGGUCAAGACUCCUAGGGAAGGAGGAGGGGGGGAAUUUUCGAAAUGGGCGGCAGGCUGGAGACAGCCAGGCGGCGUGUAUGAAGAGGGCCUUCGGGUUGUAAAGUACGUUCAGCGGGGAGGCGUUACCCGCAGAAGAAGCACCGGCUAACUCCGUGCCAGCAGCCGCGGUAAUAC
rnacentral:rRNA from 1 species